rnacentral:lncRNA from 1 species
AUGUAUUACAUUAAGGGUGGAAAGGCAGGGUUUUGCACACUUUCAGAGUCAAAGAGACAGGAUGCUGCAGCAAUCUGGACACACAUGGAUCCAGUCCUAAAAGAUAUCAAAACGAGAUAUCCGCAGGUUACCAGUGUGCACUUUUGGUUUGAUGGUCCAAGUAAACAGUAUAAGAACCAGAAGAAUUGUUUCCUUCUGUCUUGUAUCCCCCCUACACUGGGGUUUGAAAGAGCAACAUGGAACUUCUUCCCCACUUCCCAUGGUAAGGGGGCACCACACGGCAUUGGCGGUACAGUGAAAAGAACAGCUGACAACCUGGUCCUGAGAGGAACUGAUAUGACAGAUGGACACACAUUCUUUGAAAAGGUCUCAAACAGUCUGAAGAGCGUUCAGCUGUACCACGUUGCAGAAGAAGACAUGCAAAGAUACGAUACACUUCUCAUGUAUCCUCUCAAACAGGUUCCCUCAACAAGACAAAUACAUCAGGUCAUCCCACAUGAUAACAGGAUCCACCACAGACAACUAUCCUGCUUUUGCAGCAAGACGUUGGUUUGCCAGUGCUUCUGCCCAGCUACCUUCUAUUUCCAUGGCUACCCAGAGAAACAGCACAGUGAUGCAAGGAGGGCAGCGAAGAAAAGACCUUUGGCCAUGUUGUUGGAGGACAUGGAAAAAGAGAUGGAAGGGGAGAUGGAAGAGGAUCUGGAAAUGGAAGAUGUGAUGGAGGAGUUGGAUGAGGAGCUUCUGAAAGGUCCCGAGGGUACUGUGACAGUUACGACUGUUAGCAGCCUUAAUAAUGGAGACUGGCUAGCAGUAGUAUAUGAUGGCCACUGGUGGCUAGCCAAGACCAUUGCUGUGGAUACUGAGCAUCACGAUGUGGAGUUUCUGCAUCCCCAUGGUCCAACAGCAAAUUAUCAGCCUAAGCUUCUCACAAAGGAUGUCUGUUUCUGCCCAGUUGAAGACAUCAUAGUUAAACUAAUGGGAAAUGCAUCACCAGUCAAAUUAAGAACACGAGAGAUCUACAGCAUAGCCCCUGAUGUGAUGGACUUCAUAGAGCGUGAGCAUGUCCGACGCCUGUUGCUCAAGGCACAAGUGCGGGUUAGACAAAAAUGA